rnacentral:rRNA from 1 species
UGAAUACGAGACGCUAAGGCGUCGAAGUAGUGUAUGUCAUACUUCCAAGAAAAGCUUGCACUGUCAUAGAUAAAAAACGCCUGUACCAUAACCGACACAGGUGGGUAGGUAGAGUAUACUAAGGGGCGCGAGAUAACUCUCUCUAAGGAACUCGGCAAAAUAACUCCGUAACUUCGGGAGAAGGAGUGCCUUAUUCGUAAGGUUGCAAUAACAAGAUCCAAGCAACUGUUUAUCAAAAACACAGGUCUCCGCUAAGUCGUAAGACGAUGUAUGGGGGCUGACGCCUGCCCAGUGCCAGAAGGUUAAAGAAGUUGGUUAGCAAUUGCGAAGCUGAUAACUGAAGCCCUGGUGAACGGCGGCCGUAACAAUAACGGUCCUAAGGUAGCGAAAUUCCUUGUCGGGUAAGUUCCGACCCGCACGAAAGGCGUAAUGAUUUGGAUACUGUCUCGGAGAGGGGCUCGGUGAAAUAGACUUGUCUGUGAAGAUGCGGACUACCUGCACCAGGACAGAAAGACCCUAUGAAGCUUUACUGUAACUUGAAAUUGAAAUUGGACUUUAUUCGCGCAGUAUAGGUGGGAGGCGUUGAUUAUAAUCUUGUGGGAUUAUUGGAGCCAUCAGUGAGAUACCACUCUUGUAAUGUUAGAUUUCUAACUUUGAAUCAUUAUCUGGUCAAAGAACAGUUUCAGGCGGGCAGUUUGACUGGGGCGGUCGCCUCCUAAACGGUAACGGAGGCGUACAAAGGUUUCCUCUGAACGGUUAGAAAUCGUAUCUAGAGUGUAAAGGCAUAAGGAAGCUUGACUGUGAGACCUACAAGUCGAGCAGGGACGAAAGUCGGUCUUAGUGAUCUGACGGUACUGAGUGGAAAGGCCGUCACUCAACGGAUAAAAGUUACUCUAGGAUAACAGGCUGAUCUCCCCCAAGAGUUCACAUCGACGGGGAGGUUUGGCACCUCGAUGUCGGCUCAUCGCAUCUUGGGGCGGUAGUACGUCCCAAGGGUUGGGCUGUUCGCCCAUGAAAGCGGUACGCGAGCUGGGUUCAGAACGUCGUGAGACAGUUCGGUCCAUAUCCGGUGUAGGCGUUAGAAUAUUGAGAGGAGCCUUCUUUAGUACGAGAGGACCGAGAAGGACGUACCUCUAGUGUACCAGUUAUCGUGCCAACGGUAAACGCUGGGUAGCUAUGUAUGGAGUGGAUAACCGCUGAAAGCAUCUAAGUGGGAAGCCCACCUCAAGAUAAGUAUUCUCA